AUUGAACGCUGGCGGCAGGCCUAACACAUGCAAGUCGAACGGUAACAGAAAGCAGCUUGCUGCUUUGCUGACGAGUGGCGGACGGGUGAGUAAUGUCUGGGAAACUGCCUGAUGGAGGGGGAUAACUACUGGAAACGGUAGCUAAUACCGCAUAACGUCGCAAGACCAAAGAGGGGGACCUUCGGGCCUCUUGCCAUCGGAUGUGCCCAGAUGGGAUUAGCUAGUAGGUGGGGUAAAGGCUCACCUAGGCGACGAUCCCUAGCUGGUCUGAGAGGAUGACCGCCCACAUUGGAAUUGAGCCAGGGUCCAGACCCCUAGGGGGGGCAGCGGGGGGGAAUUUUGCAAAAAGGGGGGAAGCCUGUGGCAGCCAUGCCGGGGGUAUGAAGAAGGCCUUCGGGUUGUAAAGUAAUUUAAGGGGGGAGGAAGGGGAGAAAGUUAAUCCCUUUGCUCAUGGACGUUACCCGCAAAAAAAGCCCCGGCUAACCCCGU
rnacentral:rRNA from 1 species